rnacentral:rRNA from 1 species
UACGAAGGGGGCUAGCGUUGCUCGGAAUGACUGGGCGUAAAGGGCGCGUAGGCGGCCUGCUAAGUCGAACGUGAAAUCCCCGGGCUCAACCCGGGAACUGCGUCCGAUACUGGCAGGCUUGAAUCCGGGAGAGGGAUGUGGAAUUCCAGGUGUAGCGGUGAAAUGCGUAGAUAUCUGGAGGAACACCGGUGGCGAAGGCGGCAUCCUGGACCGGUAUUGACGCUGAUGCGCGAAAGCCAGGGGAGCAAACGGG